GGACCCGCACAAGCAGCGGAGCAUGUGGUUUAAUUCGAAGCAACGCGAAGAACCUUACCAAGGCUUGACAUCGCCUGAAUAGUAUGGAAACAUAUGAAGUUGUAGCAAUACAACAGGCAGACAGGUGGUGCAUGGUUGUCGUCAGCUCGUGUCGUGAGAUGUUGGGUUAAGUCCCGCAACGAGCGCAACCCUUAUGAAUAGUUGCCAAUAUUAAGUUAGGAACUCUAUUCAGACUGCCGUGGAUAACACGGAGGAAGGUGAGGAUGACGUCAAAUCAUCACGCCCCUUACGUCUUGGGCUACACACGUGCUACAAUGGCUGUUACAAAGAGCAGCAAGAUGGUAACAUUGAGCAAAUCUCAGAAAAACAGUCUCAGUUCAGAUUGUGGGCUGCAACUCGCCCACAUGAAGGCGGAGUUGCUAGUAAUCGCGAAUCAGCACGUCGCGGUGAAUGCGUUCCCGGGUCUU
rnacentral:rRNA from 1 species